rnacentral:rRNA from 1 species
UACAGGGGUCCCAAGCGUUGUUCGGAUUCACUGGGCGUAAAGGGUGCGUAGGUGGCGGGGUAAGUCGGAUGUGAAAUCUCGGAGCUCAACUCCGAAAUGGCAUUGGAAACUACCCUGCUAGAGGGUCGGAGGGGGGACUGGAAUACUUGGUGUAGCAGUGAAAUGCGUAGAUAUCAAGUGGAACACCAGUGGCGAAGGCGAGGCCCUGGACGACUCCUGACACUGAGGCACGAAAGCUAGGGGAGCAAACAGG